AAAUAGCUCAGUUGGGAGAGCGUCAGACUGAAAAUCUGAAGGUCCCUACUUCAAUCCGCAGAGUUU
rfam:Nematostella vectensis strain CH2 x CH6 NEMVEscaffold_224_Cont19619, whole genome shotgun sequence.